rnacentral:rRNA from 1 species
AACGAACGCUGGCGGCAGGCUUAACACAUGCAAGUCGAACGAUGUAGCAAUACAUAGUGGCGCACGGGUGAGUAACGCGUGGGAAUAUACCUUAUAGUGGGGAAUAACUUCGGGAAACUGAAGCUAAUACCGCAUACGCCCGAGAGGGGAAAGAUUUAUCGCUAUAAGAUUAGCCCGCGUGAGAUUAGGUAGUUGGUGGGGUAAUGGCCUACCAAGCCUACGAUCUCUAGCUGGUCUGAGAGGAUGAUCAGCCACACUGGAACUGAGACACGGUCCAGACUCCUACGGGAGGCAGCAGUGGGGAAUAUUGGACAAUGGGCGAAAGCCUGAUCCAGCCAUGCCGCGUGAAUGAUGAAGGCCUUAGGGUUGUAAAGUUCUUUCGCCGAUGAAGAUAAUGACGGUAGUCGGAGAAGAAGCCCCGGCUAACUUCGUGCCAGCAGCCGCGGUAA